rnacentral:lncRNA from 1 species
CGUUGGAAAGACUGAAGAAUUCAGUAAGCUAAAUUAGAUAAUCUGUCAUAAUUUUCCAAAGAUGGUUGCUUCUUCAGUCCCACUUCUGGCCCUAAACCUGAAUUAAAACAGCUAAAAGUGAUUAGCUUUUAAUGUCAAAUAGCCAGCACUGGGAUACUUCAAAAGAAACCAUUUUUUGGCUAGUCUCUGUUCAAGGUCCUCCCAGUAAGUUCUCCUAAGCGACUAAUUUCUUCAAAAUCAGGAAUUAUUGCCCGUAAUUUUUUUACUGAGUUUGGCCUGCAUCUUAAUGCAUGAAGAUGGCAGUCCUACUCUGUGCAGCAGUCUUCUGUCAUGUUACAAAGAGUAAAUACAAAGUAAAAAAAUAAGUUACUUAUACAAAACCACAUAUUCAUUGUUACUACUGUUUUCAUUGCAGUAAUGCUGCAAGGAGUAACUGGCACUCAUCUGUUGUGGAACUGUGUGAUAUUGGUGUUGUUUCAUAGCAUCGGUUCAAGUUUUGCAUCACCAACUCAGCAUGUUUUAGAAAAAAGUGAGGUGGCGCCCGGCAAACUUAAAGUGAAACUGAAAGAUACGUUAGAAGCUCUUGUAAACUUCUUCGCUCCAGUGAGUAAGUGUCACUUUCAUCCCUGCACAUUCCUUCUCUCUUCUCUCCUUUCCUUCUGCCUCACCUCCAGCCCACACUUCCACCCAUACUUGCCAACGCUUAGGGUGUAUGAAACCCUCUAUCCCCUAUUGUAAAACUUAGUAGAUUUCAUAAAAUGGUUUUGUUAAAUACCCCUUUGGAACAACUACAGAUUUGUGAUUUGCUUCUAUUGCGUUACUGUUGUCCUACAAAACCCUUUAUCCUGAGUGAUGUGCUUGUGCUAGAAAUGCUGGACGCUUCAGAGUAGGGUUCACCUUGUGUACCUUUGCAUCUGAUCUGAACUAGUUUUCUAGAUUACUGCUAUAAGCACAAGAAGGAAAGAGCAAUUCAGCGCACCCUAAAUGGAAGAAGAAUUUUGCACUAUAGUGGUCCCGCUUUCCCA